rnacentral:pre_miRNA from 1 species
UUAACGCAUAUUUGUAUGGAAUGGGAUCGUUUGUCUACGUUUGCCGCUAAGGGCGCUGUUCCAACUGCAUACAAAAUUGGGUUA